AGACUUCCCCAGCAGGCUGUAACAUCAGUUGCCCGCAAUGCCAGUCAGGAAAAUCUUGCUUCUCAAACUCCUGUCUUGACCCCUUCCUGAACUUUGCCUCCUGGAUCUUGAGGUCUGCCUUCUGUGGAAGAGAAAUACUAGAAUCACUGAACUGUGAACUAGAGCCCUGGGAUUAUCAACAGCCAGCUGAAAUUGUGAGAGCCACCUUAUAGAAAGCCUAACAGCAAAGACUGGAGAGAGGCUUCCAGCCAACAGCCAGCAAGGAAUUGAAGCCUUCAGUCCAAUAGCAGUGAGGAAUUGAAUCCUGCCAACAGCCUCGUGGACUGACUGAUUCAUGCUGGGCUUCAGACAUGAGAGGCUAGGAGUAGGAGGCAUGCCUUGUUCAAAG